rnacentral:lncRNA from 1 species
AACAAAUCUAUCCAGCUCCCAAAGAGUCUCGGUAUCCACACUGUCAAUGUCUACUUCUAUUUCAUCGUCAUGUUGAAGGACAGCUGAAUUCCUUUUUUUAAUAAUCUGUACAAUGUUGUCCAGCUUCUCUGAAGGCAAACUUUGAAGGUUAGUGCUAAGCUUCUGCUUCUCUUCAUAAGUCAUAUCCCUCUUGUAAGGAUCCUUUGCUUUAGGCUUUUUUGGAGCAGGAGUCCUACCCAAAGGAGUAGUAGCAAUAAGUUUUGGUCUGGGGUCAACAGGGCGUGUCAUUGACUCUGAUCUAUCCAAGGUCCUUCUUGUAUCAAGAGGAGGUGGUAGCAUUGAAUGUGCCUUUCUUGGUGUUGGCAUACGGAGACUCGCUUCAUAUUCUACUGCAAGUCUCAUAUCUCGAAUAUAAUCUGCCUCUAUAGAAGCCCAUUUGCCCUCAAAUAUCUUUGAUAAUUGCUCUGCCAUUACAUGAACAUCUUGUCCCUUAGGAUUAUAUGUCAUGGCAUUCUGAAACGUCAAUCUCACAUCCUCUGCAAACUCUCUUGGUGACUUGUACCAGUUUUUACCAAGCCUUGUUUUCACAGUGCCCAAAUCCAUGGGAUGCUUAAUGACACUAUAGUAAUCAUGCAAACCAAGACCUUUGACAUCAACAGGAGAAUUAAAGACCCAACCAUGCUUGUGUUUCAUUAGUCUUUCAAGCAAAGAACUACAGUUCUUAAAGAACUUAUUACCCAUGCCAAAUCCGUGUGUGAAUUCACCUCCUCCUUGCUUCUUCCCAUUUAAUUUCAACUUCUUGUUACUCUCAGCUGGUGGGAACUUAUCUUUUGCAAGCAAAAACUCAGAAUUACGAUAAAACUGAUUUGCCUUGGGCGUCCUUUUCUCCUUCUCCAAAUUUUCAUUUGCACCCUGACUAUUUUCCAAGGCAGAAAUAUUCAACUGAUUCAAAGGCCUUGAUUUCUUAACAGGCUCAGCCGAAAUGCCCACUGAGGCCAGCUCUGGUUGAACCCUAUUGAAACCAUAAUCAACGGCAUUAUUCAGAGGAACAGGGGCAUUACUAAACCCCCGUAUUUGCGCUUCUUUAGCUUCAAUCCUCUUCACCAAACUCCUUACCAAAUCAAGCUCACUUACCAACUUCCUCCUCAGUUCCCCCAUCUCCUGCUUUGACCUUGAAGCCAAAUUGAUCUUCACCUGGUUCUCGGAACUAGGCUUCAAUGCUCCAGCCACAGCCGCCUGCUUAUUAAGGUUUGAACAGUCAUCAGACACAGCAGUAUCUACGCGAGGACCAGGCUGUUGGUGAGCUGAACCCCCAAACUCCAAAGGAAGAGGCUGAGCAGGUCUUUCUACAGGGUGGUUGCUGUAGUCGUCGGUGUUAGGGACAGCUGUUGGGGUGACAUCAGUGUCAUUCACAGCAGCCCUAUCCACGUUGCUGUUGCUUUUGUUGUUGUUGUCAUGGUUGUUGGUGGUGGUGGAGGUGGAGGUGGUGGUGGUGUCGUGGUUGUGGUGGUGGUGGUGGUUGAGGUUGCUACUGUUAACAGUGGAGUUGAGAAGAUUGUUUUUCUUGGAACCCUUGAACGCUUUCCUGGUAUAAACCUUGUUCUCACUGUACCUCUGUUUCUCUCUCUCACCAUCUUUUCCUUCUCCAGCUACUAUCCCCGAAGCCAUACACAUAUAUUAGGGUUUUAAACCCUAAUUCCUUUUUUCCAGUCUCCAACCAAAACAAUUCUGUACCCGCAACCAGGUCCGAAAUAGGGUUCAACGACCUCUGCACCAAAAACCCUAAAUUUCACCUCCCAAACUUGAGAGUUCCCCCAAGUUUCAACCACCGGAUCCAAAGAAACACAAAAAAAUCUACAGAAGAAAAACCCAAGCCUCGAUCUACAAAAUUAAAACUACAACCAUCUAUGUAAAACCCUAAAACUGAAUUUAAAUAACGGACAAAUAAAUUAAAACAAGAAAGGCAGAUUUCUCAGCUCCUCACCUUGGAUUGUUCGAUUUCAGAUCUCCUCACGAGUCCUCCCUCAACGCCGCUCUCUUUCUCUCUCUAAAAAGUGCUUUCGACUUUUUUCCCUCUCAACUUUUUUUACCUGUAUCUUAUCUUUACAGGUGUACGGUGGUGAAUGCCCUCGUGGAUAUAAGCGACUGGGAAGAAGCGUGUGGGUGCAUCAAAAGUGCCGUGCUCGGGAAGGAUCAUACGGAUGAGAGGAGUGUUUUACCUACGUCCUGUUUGUUUUGCGUGUUAUGCAGGCGCCUCUUGAUGCUAGAAAUUUUGGGAGGUGAAGGCAACGUCAGGUUGAGGUCGUAGGUUUGGAUUAUGAGGGGGAGCUUUAAUUGUGGGUUUUGGUAAAUUUUUUCCACGCCCAAGAGAGGGAGCGUGUGGUUUAGUCAGGGGUUUCAUAAGCCUAGUCACUAGACUCUAUUAUGGUAUUUGAUUGGUCGGAAUUAUAUUCUAUUCCGAUGAUUUUUUUUUCAGUUAUUCCGAUGAUAUUUGGUUGUUGGUAAUAUUGACUGUUUAAUAACUCUUAAGGCAAAGUUUGGCAUAUAUGCCAAUUUAAAAAAGAAAUCAGGGUUUUAAGGCAUUUUCUUUGAAAAUUAAGAAAAUAGAUUGAUUUUGAUGGUAAAAAUGUUUCUUGUUGGAACUGCUUCCGGGUGACCUGACAAGGAGAGAGAGUAAAAAUGUGUCAUAUAAGACGUGUUUUCAGUGAAAACGUGUUUUAUGUAACGCUUUUUCACCUUCUCCUUAUCAAAUCAUCCGAAAAUAUUUUUUGUAAAAAAAAAAUUUGAUGGUUAAAUUGAAUUCUUAAAACCCAAAAAUCUCAAGAUAAAGUUUCUGAAAACUCAAGAAUCUCGAGAUAAAAUUUACAUCUCAUUUUAUUCGUGGCAGAACACGAAUAUAAUCUUUAAAAACUUUUCGUAUCAAAAACAUUUUUUUCACUUGUCAUAUCCGAUCUUUUCCAACAUUUUAAAAUAUGUUUCAUAUUCGGUGGUAAAGUUUUCUAUAAAAUGAAGAUUGAUAUGGGGAGGGUUUCAUAGUUAAAUUUCGAGUAGAAUAUUUGCAUAAGGAGAAUAUUGUUGAUGUUAAAAAUUGGAAGUUUAAAAAUUAACCCAACAAAGUAAAUUAGUUCAAGUAAGUGUCGAUGUUUGAAUUUGGUUAAUGAGUAUUUAUUUUUCUGUAUAAUAAUUUUGUUUUAGUUUUAAAAAUUGAUCCAGAUAUUGCGAUUCACCAAAAAUUCGGUCGAGAUACAUUCUUAAAUCCUCGGAUCAAAGUAUGACAUUCAUUCAAACUACAAUACAAAAUUAUAAAAUUUAUUGCGUACCUAAUAUUAAAUUUCAAAUCUUUACGUAAUUAUUAUGUAAUUGAAAAAUUCAAAAACUGACCUAAGCUUCUGACGGUUGAUUUAACAAUAACUAGAUAUCUUCAAGCACGUUCGGUAUACACACAUGACUCGUGUCAUUGUUCCACCUAUUCAAAUGAUAUGUUGUUCCAAAAAUAUAAUAAUGAAAAAAAAUUAACAUGAUAACUAUAUUAUUAAAUGAAUCUUACCUUAUUAUGAGUGAAAAUUGAUAAUAGAAGUUUACUCGGAGACGUAAUCAUGUCCAUGACUGAAAGAGUAUACAGUCACCGAUUUUAGUUUUAUGUGCUUCAAUUCCCCAACACAUCUCUCGGUACAAUGUAGCCAAGACAGUUGAUCCCCAAAUGAGUUGUCCGACUUCUUUUAAGUCGAUUAGUUAUAGAAGUCGCCUUAAAUGUACCAAAUUUCAAGAUUUAUUUGGCAUUAGAAAAGCCCCAGUCAACCUUAGUAUAGAUGCUUGAGCAAAUUGUUGUCUUUCAAAUGAAUUAAAGGCAUUGACAUUUUUAAAAUGAUAAAAAUCGAAUAAAAUCUAAGAAAUUACAAACAACUAGGAUAUAAAAUUGAGAGAAGAAGAUUUUGAAAGAAAUUUGAGAGAUUAGGAUAGAAAAUUAAGAAUAAAAAAGUCGAGAGAGUUGAGAGAAUAGAUAAAUAGGAUUGAAUGAAAAAAAAUUGAAAAUGUAGAGGAUAUAUAAAGGAAAAAAAUUGGACCAUUGGGUUAAAUACUCGUUGGUCCCAACAGUUAGAAAAUUAACUAAUCAACAGUCGUGAUUUUCUAACCGUUGGGGAUCCAAUAACGCAUUUUCGUCACGCUUCACCAACGUCUUCCAAAAUCAACCUAUUUGCUUAAAUUAAAAAAACAACAACCUAAAUCCCUAAUUACUUUUAAAAAACAUCAUAUUUACUUAAUAGCUCUAAUAGGCUUAACUACAAGCACAAAUCAUAGUUUAAACAAAAUUAAGUAGUGGAAAAAUCGAAUAGAAAUACCUCUAGUCAUUGUCUGAACCAAAUAUCAAAAUUCAGACGUUGUAACACCACUUGUCAAACGCGUCAAACAACUGACGAAGACGUUGUAUUUAACUAUACGAAAAUAUGAAAUUUGGAAAACACAAAAAAAAGGUCAAGAUAUUCUAAGCACUCGAAAACUUCACUAGAUGGAAUUAUUUUCAGAAAGUGAUUUUUAGUGCUCAGGGACCUUAUGCUUGGGGGUAUUUAUAGUGGUGGUUCCCCAUAAAAAACCACCAUCCCACUAUCACACAUAUACCUAUUACCACACAACAAAGUAGUGGGCAACAAAAGUGGGAGUUGAGAUUCUAGGUCUAAACUUUAGUGACAUUUCUCGAAACAAUCAAAUUAAUACGCGCACAAAAUAUGAGAAACAUCAAACUUAAUAAAGUUUAAUUAUAAUCGUUAUUAUAACGAAAAAUUACAAAGUGGUAACAAGUCUCAUAGUGACAAUAUGAUUCUUAAAUUUGUAUAGUGACAUACCUUUAGUCAAAGGAUCAACUAUCAUCUACUUAGUAUUAAUGUGCUCAAUAACCACUUUUUUUUUUCUUUUAACACGUUCUCUUAUACUGAGUGUAAAAAAUAUAUAUACAUUCUUUGAUUGGUUUAACUAUGGCAGGUAAAUUUUAAUUAAGAUUUCAUGCAAAAUCUCUUUCCAAAGCCUCAUCACCAGUCAAUAGCUUCCUUCUUUUAAUGCUGGCUUUUUGGCUUCUAAUACUUUGUUACGAUAUGCAUAGGUUAUUACGAUACCAACUACAUUGAAUUUCCCCCUAAGCUUUUUGUGUGUUGGGAAAGUCCAAUCCAACUUAAUAAAUCACAUAUAUCAAUUUGAUUUAUUUGAUAGAUUCACAAAAGAAAAACAAAUUGAAAAGAAUUGAAUCAAUAAUAACCCUAAAUCCUAGAAUAGCUAAACUUAAGAUUACGUCCAUACAGAAAUCAGAAAUAGCACAAUCCCUAAGGGCAACAUCAAAUCAUAAUUAUUACUUUUCAUUUGAAGCAUGCUUACUACUUUUGAAUUACAAUGCCUUGUUUCUGACUUUCUGUAUAAUAACAUCACAUCAAAGAACCAUCAGAAAGAAUAAACACACUAAAACAAAGUCCCCUGAAACUAGGGUGAGUUGAGUAGUACUUGUUAAAUUAGAAAUGUACACACGUGCUUCCAGUUUCUCCUAUUCCUAAUCUCUACCCAUUCAACACCACAAUCAACCCAUCCAAAUUAUAAUUAUACAGAUACUCCACAUAUUGUCCAGUGCUGCUGAAGCCUUGUUCCCAGUUUCAACAACAGCAUCUCGGCGGUGGCUCAACCGCCUGGAGGGAGCCCGUCAGGUCCGAGGUACCAAAAUCUUCACUAUACACCCAAAUGCUACAUCAAACUCAUAGAGGCCAAUCUGCAAAACUUCAGGAUCACAAUGGAUCAGCACCUACUCUAAAUUCUUAGAUCAGCCACCCCACUCACUACCAACUAUUUUAAAGAAAUUUAAUCUUGUCAACCAUAGUAUCAAGAAUGGCUGUAGAAAUUUGUCAAAUGGAAACAGUAAAAAGUUGAGAAAAUCCUAUUUGCAAUAUUGUUGUCAUUCUCCAAAUAAUCAGCUUUUCACCAAAUACGGUAUCACAUUACAGAAAAACACACCAGGACACUUAAUGAAGCAUCUUAAAUCCACUUAAGCAUGCGUACAAAUCAAAGAGAGAGUGACAUCUGUAGCAGUAUAUGUUUAUGACCACUAUCUUCAUCGUAACAGAUACAGUAGCACCACAGCUAAAUCACAUCAUAACAUACAUGUUUAGUUACAUGUACAAUAUGUUUCGUGCAUCUUUGUAACUUCAAAUACCUCUCCUACUCAAUUACAAUUACAAUUGACCCUUCAAAUCCCUUAUCUUUUAGUAUACCUAAAUAAACCCUUAACAUAAAUUGACCUUUCAAUUGAAACAAGAGCUUGUUUUGUAGCAAAUCAAAAGAUAAACUUAUUUUAGUACAAUAAAAGUUUAAGGGCUUAUUUAAUAGAAGCGAAAGAAUUCAAGAACAUUUUAAGUGAUUUAUUCUCCAAUAAAGAACAGUAUACUAAAAUAGGUGCUUAAUCUCAUUGAUUUUCGUGGUAAAGUGGACAACUAGAAUACUUUCAUGUUUCAACCAAUUUUUGUAUUGCACAAUAAACAAAAUGACACACGACGGACACACCAACCUGAAAGUCAAGACAGAUAUAUAAUUGUCCUCAAAGAAUCAGGAUGUAUCACAACCACAGGUCUGUCAGAACUUAUAGUCUUAACAAAAGCCACAAAUUAACUAAUUUGAAGAGAACCACAACAACUAUAAAGUUUUAUAUUUAAUCUACAAGCCAAAUUGCAGAUAACAGUUCGUCUAAUGAGUUGCCACAGAAUGAAUAAACAUUUAUAACCAAGAACUUCAAGUACGACAGCACUCUUUCCUUAAAUAUCUGUGAUCCAUCAUGGCUGAGUUCAACAUGCAACUAGACCAGCAUAUACAGUCAAAAGUCACAACAUAGUUAGAUAUCCCCCUUGUCAAAAAUAAAACAUUCUUUUCAACAUAAACAGUUUGAUAUUUGACUUAUAUAGUUUGGAAUCAUCAAAUGCUGAAACUAUACAUCUUCAACUUACAAGGAUAUUAAUUCGCCAAGACAUGUAAGGUCUGCAGAUUUUUUUUCUUUUUCCUUACACGUGGAAGUCCACUGAUUUCAAAUAGAAAGGGAGUUAACUCUCAUAAAUAAACUCAGAAACUCACUCUCCCCUCUCAGUAUUUGCAUCUGAAACCUACAAGUUGAAAUCUCAUUGAAGAGUUGACUCAGGGUCUCAAGACCCACAAUUGUUUACAAAUCCAAAUUUUAACAGAAGUUAUGUGCGCUCACUAUAUAGUGAUGCUACCAGGCAAAAAUAUUCACCACCAUUUACAUCAUCACUAAACAUCAAUCACAUCACUCGAAAGAACCACAAUAGAAAUAAAAAUGUUAACAAUUCUACAGCUAAAGAGGUAAUUUAAAAAUGACCACAUACACCUGAGCAACUUUAAGAAAUCAAAUCAUGAAUGCCUGUAAGAUACAGGGACAUUUCAGCAUACCUGAACGAGAAACACUCAAGCUCUAGGUGAAUGUCCAGCAUCAGAUCCAGAGGCAGAGGAACUUUCACUAUCAGAGUCUACAACAAACAAUUAUAUAUGUUAGAACAAUAAAACACAAUUUAUUCCGACUAAAAUCAAGUAAGAAAUAAAUCAUAUUACCACUUGAAGAAGAUCCAGAAUCACUGCUAGAGCUACUUGAACUACUGGACCUACUAGCAGCAUCUCCCGGUUUUUCUUCAACAAGUAACCUGGACACAUUCUGUUCAUCUGCAGGUAUAUAUAUAAUCAUUUUAGAUAUCAGUACAACCAAGCAAGUAGCAAACAUCUUAUAACUCCUUAACGUGAAAACUUACUAGUUGUGGUUUCCUUGGGCACUUCCACCAAAACAGGAGCCACGGUCCGCAACUAAAUACAAUAAAAGCAUGAAGUUAGCAACCCUCAGGAAAAGAUUAUUUCAUAAGAAACUAUGAUUUUAUAUAUAUAUAUAUAUAAAAGAAAACCUUUACUUUCUCAGGUACAAUCUGCACAGCUUCUGCUCUGGCUUGAAUGGAAAGUUCAGCCUUUCUCUUGCUUUUGCUCAAACUUUUCUUGUAGUUGGUAACAAAUCUAUCCAGCUCCCAAAGAGUCUCAGUAUCCACACUGUCAAUGUCUACUUCUAUUUCAUUGUCAUGUUGAAGAACAGCUGAAUUCCUUCUUUUAAUAAUCUGUACAAUAUUGUCCAGCUUCUCUGAAGGCAAACUUUGAAGGUUAGUGCUAAGCUUCUGCUUCUCUUCAUAAGUCAUAUCCCUCUUGUAAGGAUCCUUUGCUUUAGGCUUUUUUGGAGCAGGAGUCCUACCCAAAGGAGUUGUAGCAAUUAGUUUUGGUCUUGGAUCAAUAGGGCGUGUCAUUGACUCU